GGCCCUGACACACACUCUCACCUUUUCCUGGACUCCUUUCUGCUCUACCCGAGUCUACCAGCAAAGGCAGACGUCCCUAAUGAACUCCCAAGAAUGCAGUCCUUCUCAGAAGAACAAUCGGAUAACCUGCCAGGACUAAGCUACCCAGGUUUGGUUCAGGGCUGAAGCUGUUUGCCAGUCAUGGAGAGUAAAUGCUCACAAAUCAUCUGGGAGGUACGGACAAGAGAAGCAAGGUCCGAGGAAGCUGACUUGCCUAAGACUUGGGAGGUGCUGACAUUGUGGCUGGUCCAGGGACCACACCUUGAGAACCUUUCCUGCUGGCAUCUAUCCAGAGUGACUGUAGAAAGAGAAUAAGGCUCGAAGCCUCAAGAAAAGAACUGGUCCCGGUCCCUCAGGAUGGUUGUCUGGCCCACUGGGUCUCCUGGAGAGUAUCAUCCGUGAUCCUGGUGCCCCCAGGACCCUGUCCAGAAAGGUGAACUUGUGUUGUUGAGGAUGGACCCCUGGCACCCGGCUUGGUUUUCCUGAGUGAGGCCUUCUGUUGUCACAGGUAUAGCUCUGGUUGUGGGUUGGAGUGUCAAGGGAGAAAGAAGAAGGGAGGCAGCCGGCUAUGCUUGGUGGCCUGGAGGCCUGGAGGGAGUUGAUGGAAAACAUCUGAGCCAAUGGCUCCGUGCACUCAGAAAAUAAAUCCUGGCUUCCGAAGAAGCUGCAGAAAAUUGAUUUUUUGCAGCUUCAGUGGUCAUCCUGAAGGAUUUGGUGGGGCGGAAACUGGGCCCAUUUCUCAUCCCUGUGCUCUGUGC